rnacentral:rRNA from 1 species
GAUGAACGCUGGCGGCGUGCCUAAUACAUGCAAGUCGAGCGAACAGACGAGGAGCUUGCUCCUCUGACGUUAGCGGCGGACGGGUGAGUAACACGUGGAUAACCUACCUAUAAGACUGGGAUAACUUCGGGAAACCGGAGCUAAUACCGGAUAAUAUAUUGAACCGCAUGGUUCAAUAGUGAAAGACGGUUUUGCUGUCACUUAUAGAUGGAUCCGCGCCGCAUUAGCUAGUUGGUAAGGUAACGGCUUACCAAGGCAACGAUGCGUAGCCGACCUGGGAGGGUGAUCGGCCACACUGGAACUGAGACACGGUCCAGACUCCUACGGGAGGCAGCAGUAGGGAAUCUUCCGCAAUGGGCGAAAGCCUGACGGAGCAACGCCGCGUGAGUGAUGAAGGUCUUCGGAUCGUAAAACUCUGUUAUUAGGGAAGAACAAAUGUGUAAGUAAAUAUGCACGUCUUGACGGUACCUAAUCAGAAAGCCACGGCUAACUACGUG